rnacentral:lncRNA from 1 species
UUAUUCAAAAAAAAUAUUUUUUUAUAAAUAUAGAUAUUUACGAUAAAAAUAUUUUCAUAGCAAAUAAUUUCAUCGUAAAAAUCUUAUUUUUUUGUAGUGUAGAGAAAGGGAAGGAGAAGAAAGGAUGAGGGAGAAAGAGGGGGAAGGGGAUUGGAGGAGAAAUGGGUGAGAAAGAAGAGGAGAAGAGAAAAGAGGAGGAAGGAAAAGGGAGAAACAGAGAUGCCGGCCAUGGAGGAGGAGAUCAAUCGGAGAGGG